rnacentral:rRNA from 1 species
CCUACGGGAGGCAGCAGUGGGGAAUAUUGGACAAUGGGGGGAACCCUGAUCCAGCCAUGCCGCGUGUGUGAAGAAGGCCCUCGGGUUGUAAAGCACUUUCAGUGAGGAAGAACGCCUGGUGGUUAAUACCCAUCAGGAAAGACAUCACUCACAGAAGAAGCACCGGCUAACUCCGUGCCAGCAGCCGCGGUAAUACGGAGGGUGCGAGAGUUAAUCGGAAUUACUGGGCGUAAAGCGCGCGUAGGUGGCUUGAUAAGCCGGUUGUGAAAGCCCCGGGCUCAACCUGGGAACGGCAUCCGGAACUGUCAAGCUAGAGUGCAGGAGAGGAAGGUAGAAUUCCCGGUGUAGCGGUGAAAUGCGUAGAGAUCGGGAGGAAUACCAGUGGCGAAGGCGGCCUUCUGGACUGACACUGACACUGAGGUGCGAAAGCGUGGGUAGCAAACAGGAUUAGAUACCCUGGUAGUC